CACAGGCAGCACCCUUUUGCAGAAGUAGAUGUGCGUUGCUGAGAAGUUUUCUCCCUAAGUUCUGGUUUUCUUUGCAGCACCCAGCAUUUGUUUCUAACACAGGGAAAGAGUGAGCUGUAAAAACCUCUCAAAUUCAAGAAAGCGUAAAGCAAAUUGAACAAUACGGGUGAGGAGCACGGACUAUUCUCUCAUGUUGAAUGUGGCACUUUUUACAUAUAAGCAGGAGAGCAACUACACCAAGAUUUUGGAAAACAUGUUAUGUAAGUUUUUAUUUUUAAAAUCAGGAGAGAAUUUCUGCAACAUCCUAUGACCACAGAUCCCUACCCAUCUACAUUGGGGCACUUACAGAUCACCUUCUCUUCUGAACUUUGUAUGAAGUGACCAUGUCCCUCCUAUCCCUUUCCAUGUGCACAAGAUCAUGUCAUCUCUAGCUUAUUCAAAGACAUUGCCUUAGCAAUCUGCCCUUGCCUUCUGUUUCAUCAGUUUCUAAGCAACAACUAGAAAGGCCAAAGCCUUACAGGACCAGUCUGGCCAGGGCAUAGCUACAGCAUCUUUCUCAUCUGUCUAGCAGACAGUUUCUAUUAGAUCAUUCCCACAAGUACAUACAAGCAGACUUACAUUUCUCACCUCACACUUUAUAAAAAACAAACAACUCCCCAGGCACCCACUUCUCCUCUCCAGGUACAGCCCCUUUG
rnacentral:lncRNA from 1 species